GGUGAGUCAGGCCACGGUGGACAUCAGCGCCUACGGAUGUCAAGUCCCAGGUUCGGCCAUCUCCUGGUCAGAUCUGCGGGAAGCUCUGUGGUUUGACCUCAUAACCUGGCUCACUAGAAGCUCUCGCGGAGUUGAUAAAUCCGAUUUUGAAUGUGUGAUCUGAGUCCCGGCCGAGCCACCAAGCAGUACAUCUGGCCGCCCUAGCCUGCUGCUUUCUAAUCUCUAUAAUGGGUCUAGGCACUGCUGCCAUGUUACAGAGAGAGACACGAAUUGUGAAAGAAAGCACUGUGUGAACUCUGAGUGUUGGGCUUUGUCUGUUCAUUUCUUCAGACAGCUUCUGCAGGGUUACCAAACACGUGCUCGGCACGGCCAGCUGGGCACAGGGCAGCUUUCUCCCAGAGAGGACGCUCCUGAAUGUCAGAAAGAACAUGUGACCUCAUGAUAAAUUCUUCAUCAACAAUUCUUUUAAGUCACUCAAGAACCCCUGGUUGGCAAAGGCCCCAGGUCACCAUGGAUGUACUGGAAUGUCCCAUAGCCGCAUGGCCCAGAAAUGUGCUGCUGCUGGACUUUUCCAGGCCCUCGGGGGAAACCCACCCCAGAGCUUUCCAGGAGUCAGAGGUCGUCCUUCCGCGCUCUGAGAGACUCCAUGCUCCGGGAACAUCCAUCUGGGUGUCUGUUGCAAGGAGCUAUUGUGUCAUCAAAUCACCCAAAAAAGCCAGGGAGCCCAACCCCUGCUGAAGUGAGGACUGGGGGUGUCUCAGCAACAAAGCACACCCCAAAGAACAAAAGAGGCAAGAGCUGGAGAAUGGGGGCAUACACAUUCACCCACCGAGAAAAAAAUAAACGGUGCAUUGGGCAACUGGGUCUCACGUGUUCCAGAAACAAUUUUAUUACUUUACCGUUUUUGCUCAUAACUUACCCAUUGAAACCUGCUCUGUGGGGCUAGCUCUGAUUUUACCCAUACGUGAAUCUCUGACAGGUUCUGUGGCUCUCCUUUAAAAAAAAAUCCUCUGGCCACUAUUUAGCAACAUUUAUUAUGGAAAUUUUCAUGUAUAACCAAAAUUUUUUAAAAUGCUAUAAUGAACCCCAUAUCGUGAGUCAAUACUGCUUUGCUAGUUAUGAACCGUCUUGUCUCAUCGGUUUGCAUUUCGCCCAGAACACACAAUGGAAUACUUUUUUUAUAAGGUUUAUUAAUUUUUUUUUAGAGAGAGAGCACGAGUGGGAGGGGCAGAGGUAGAGAAAGAAUCCCAAGCAGACUCCCCACUGAGCAGGGACACCCCCCCGCCCACCGACGCAGCGCUCGAUCCCGCGACCCCAAGAUCCUGACCUGAGCCGGAGUCAAGACUGGGACACUCAACUCACUGGGUCACCCAGGCGUCCCUGUGCUGGAACCUUUUAAAACAAAUCCUCUGGUUAUUUUUACAAACAAAAUUGUCUUAGUUGAACUCAGUCUGGUGACAUAAUCUAGGAUCCCAAACUCCCAGACCCCAUGUCAAGUGGAAGUUCCCUCUCCCACCUGAGGCUGCUAUAGGCUGGGAGCCUGUCCGAGGUUCGCCUUCUCCUCCCGCUCACAGCUGCCUCCGGCUGCCUCAGGGCGGGGUAAGGGAGAGAGGAGAUGUUCCCGCUGGCUCUCAAAGGCUACAGGCCCAGGUCAGCUAGGAACCCCCCGUGGCCUCCUCAUAUCUCUCGCCCAUGCAGGUCUUGUCUCCUCGGACCGUGCCCAGGUCGGAUGGGCAAGGGGUGGAGACAGGCAGGUGUCAGGUUGCCCGGGUUGGAGAGCAAUGCAUGCCGGGUAAACCGGACACAGCACGGCCAGCCUUCACUAUGAUGACAUGUUUCCAGUGGAAAGAGAAUUUCGGUGGGAGGAAAGGAAGAUGCGCCCUGCUUGUAUGCACCAGGUGAAGUGCAGAGUUCUCAUUCCCGCCUGGGGGACCUGACAUCUCACUUGGGAAUGUGGAAAUAGCUGUCACUUCUUGCCUUGGAGUUCUGCUAUGCAGUGUGGAGGUCACAAGCCACGUGUGGCUGUGGAGCCCUGGAGAUGUGCCGUAAGUGCAAGCCACCCACUGGGCUUCCAACAGUAAGACCAUGGCUUACUACUAGUUUUAAAAUUGAUUACAUGCUAAACCGAUAAUACUUUUACAUUGCAUUAAGUCAAAUGUAUUGUUGAAACUAAUCUCACCUGUUUCUUUCGUGUGGCUACUAGAAAAUCUUAAAUGUACAAUCGAAAAAUGUUCUAUUGGAGGCUCCUAUCAUCCUUCUGCGGACAGCGUGGCCUUUGAGACUCACCAAAAACUGUGAGGGGAAAUUGUUGCAUUUUAAUAUCAAUGCAGGAACACUCUUCCUCCCUCCCCACCAAAAACAAAAAAACAGAAAACAAAAAUAACAACAACAACAACAACAACAAACCCAAAAAACACAAAAACUGGUCCUGGAGGGGCGCCUGGGUGGCUCAGUGGGUUAAGCCUCUGCCUUGGCUCAGGUCAUGAUCCCAGGGUCCUGGGAUCAAGCCCCGCAUCAGGCUCUCUGCUCAUCGGGGAGCCUGCUUCCCCCUCUCUCUCUGCCUGCCUCUCUGCCUACUUGUGA